GAACCCGUCUGGCUUCAUCCCCAUCCCCCACAGGCGCACCUCCAACACCAUCGAAUUCAUCCCCACACCUAAUACUUCCGAGGUUCCUCCCCGCCGCACAAAACCACCGGCGCCCCACCUCCAGAUCCGCUCGUCUCCCCCGACCCAUCUGGCGAUUGGCAGCGGCGCUGAACGGUGAUGCUGCGGUUGGAGGUAGAAGAUCCGAGCCUCCAUCCAAUUCCAGGUCGUGGAUCUCUCCGAGAUCCUUUCCAUAGUCAGCCUCGUCACUAGGCUGAUCUACUUACGUAGCUUAUUCAGCGUCAACUUCGUCCAGUUCAUCGUCUCCUCGACCGACGAAGAUGAGGACUUCCUCGUAGGCUCCUCCGCGGUACCAUCGGUGCCACACAAGAUCCUCUAGAGCGCCGACGCGGUGUUUGAGGAGAGGCUGCAGGAUGAUGAGUAGAACAUGGUCGCCGCCCGGGAAGAUCGGCGUGAGGCAGUGCGGAGGAUCACCAGCAGACAUAUCAAGGGACUCCCGCUUGACGGCUUUGUCCAUCCUCAGGCAGAUCGAUCUUUAUAUCUUGGUUGUCAUCCGGGUGCUUGAAUAGAUCAGGGGACUCCUGCUUGAGGGUCUGGCCAUGUGAGCAGCGUACCACCAAAGCCUCAGCCCACGCACUACCUUGCAUGGGGCCUUUCACUCACCAGGAUUGCUUCAUGACACAAACGCACCAUCAGAACAAUUGUUGUCCAGUGGAUGAUGGCGGAUCGCGGCAUCAAGCACUUGGAGAUGCUGGUGUGAAUAAGAGCCUACACGUCUGGAUCAAUCUCGUCUCCAAGGGCAAGAGCGAGCCAAUGUACAAGGAACUGUAGAGCAAGGACCUAAGCCAGGCCUCGAAGGACGGCGUCGACGUCCGCACAUUGUCAUUGAGACCUCUAGGGUUCGGUGUAGGGAGAGCAUGUUGACAGCGCAUGGAUGAAAUGUUGCUUCAGGUUCUCGAGCAAGGAAGUUGUAUAUUGCAGCACUAUUCAGCUCUUUCUAUGCGUGGAGUUGGCAUCAGGUAUUCAACACAAGUUGUUUGCUUCAUGAUGCACACUUGAUAGUUACAGUACAUUCACCAAGUUUGGUUGAUUGAUCAUGGUAAAGUCAUAGUAAAUAUUGUAACCUUCAAAGUUAUAUAAGUAUAUUCCAAUUUAGCAUAUAGUACAUAUAGCCAGGAAUCUUGACUGUCCAUAACCUUCAGUCUAGGAUACUUUAAAUAGUUGCAUUUUUCCUAAAGAAUUUUAUCUAUUGUGAAUGUGCUCCAUGUUAUGCUUUCGAUUGUUUUGCAGUGUGUGUAUGCAUAUUUGAAAACUG